AGGGUUGUAGUUAAAAUAACAUUUAAUUUGCAAUUAAAAGAUACUAUAUAAUAGUCUACCUUA
rnacentral:tRNA from 1 species